rnacentral:rRNA from 1 species
UGGGUGGCCGCUGAUGUACAUGCAGUCGAGCGAGACAUGAACCGGAGCUUGCUCCCGGAUGUUAGCGGCGGAGUGACAAGACACGUGGGUAACCUGCCUGUAAGACUGGGAUAACUCCGGGAAACCGGAGCUAAUACCGGAUAGUUCCUUGAACCGCAUGGUUCAAGGAUGAAAGACGGUUUCGGCUGUCACUUACAGAUGGACCCGCGGCGCAUUAGCUAGUUGGUGGGGUAAUGGCUCACCAAGGCGACGAUGCGUAGCCGACCUGAGAGGGUGAUCGGCCACACUGGGACUGAGACACGGCCCAGACUCCUACGGGAGGCAGCAGUAGGGAAUCUUCCGCAAUGGACGAAAGUCUGACGGAGCAACGCCGCGUGAGUGAUGAAGGUUUUCGGAUCGUAAAGCUCUGUUGUUAGGGAAGAACAAGUGCGAGAGUAACUGCUCGCACCUUGACGGUACCUAACCAGAAAGCCACGGCUAACUACGUGCCAGCAGCCGCGGUAAUACGUAGGUGGCAAGCGUUGUCCGGAAUUAUUGGGCGUAAAGGGCUCGCAGGCGGUUUCUUAAGUCUGAUGUGAAAGCCCCCGGCUCAACCGGGGAGGGUCAUUGGAAACUGGGAAACUUGAGUGCAGAAGAGGAGAGUGGAAUUCCACGUGUAGCGGUGAAAUGCGUAGAGAUGUGGAGGAACACCAGUGGCGAAGGCGACUCUCUGGUCUGUAACUGACGCUGAGGAGCGAAAGCGUGGGGAGCGAACAGGAUUAGAUACCCUGGUAGUCCACGCCGUAAACGAUGAGUGCUAAGUGUUAGGGGGUUUCCGCCCCUUAGUGCUGCAGCUAACGCAUUAAGCACUCCGCCUGGGGAGUACGGUCGCAAGACUGAAACUCAAAGGAAUUGACGGGCGCCCGCACAAGCGGUGGAGCAUGUGGUUUAAUUCGAAGCAACGCGAAGAACCUUACCAGGUCUUGACAUCCUCUGACAACCCUAGAAGAUAGGGCUUUCCCUUCGGGGACAGAGUGACAGGUGGUGCAUGGUUGUCUUCAGCUCGUGUCGGGAAGAUGUUGGGUUAAGUCCCGCAACGAGCGCAAC